rnacentral:lncRNA from 1 species
AGCUUAAUCAAAAGAAAAAAAAAAAAAAAAAAAAAUGCUUUUUGCAUGCAACCUGCUAAUAGUUUAUGAGUUGAACAUUUAAAAUGCUAUGUAUAUAUGUACAAAUACAUACAUAUGUGGGUUUAUAAACAACAACACGCUUUGUACUAACCCUUCGACACAUCUAUUUGCAGAUACAGAAUAUGACCAUUAUGGUUUUGAGAAGAGUAAAGAGUACCCGACUAAAUCGACUAUCGAUAAGAAAACCCUAGAAAAACAUAAGAAAAAAAUCGAAAAAAGAUGGCAACUAUAUUUUACUUUUAAAAGAGAUAUCAAAAAAAGUUAUUAUUUAAAAAAAUUAAUUAGAAAGGGAAUACCAGAUAAACUAAGACCUGAUAUAUGGCCGUAUCUAUUAGAUAGUAUGGUGUUGUAUUUAAAAUACCCAACUAUAUAUGAAAAGUGUUUAAAUAGCGAACUAGUACCGAGGGUUUUAAGUCAAAUUGAGUUGGAUAUAAUUCGAACCUUUCCGCAUAAUAAAAACUAUCGCAAUAAUUCACCUGGAUUAACUCAAUUAAAGAAUGUUCUUCAUGCAUUUGCAGUAUAUAAGCCAAAGAUCAAUU